GCAAACUGUACGGCGAGUGACGGGGAAGCCCAGCGCUGAAUCCUGUGGCCAUUGGUCAUUGGGAGUUGUAGCGUAUAGGUGUAGCUUUUCGGUGGUUUUGUUCACCCAAAGUCCCCUUGAGUGGGGCCAUAGUCCGUAGAAGGUGCUAGACCUGUACGGGUGGUGAAGCCAUCGAUAUUGGUUGCUCCUUGGAGUCGAGUUGCCUGGGAACGCAGCUCAAAGUAGGUGGUAAACCUCAUCUAAGGCUAAAUACGGCCAUGAGACCGAUAGCAAACAAGUACCGUGAGGGAAAGUUGCAAAGAACUUUGAAGAGAGAGUUCAAGAGGGCGUGAAACCGCUGGGAAGGAAACGGAUAGAGUUGACGAAACUUGGCGGCAUUCACCCGACUAUUUUCACUGCUGCUUCUGCUGUUAGCUGUUUCCUUCGUGGAGUGGCAGCAGUAGGGGUUACGCAGUAAGAUAGGCGGUGUAUUUGCCGUCGGUAUGCGCCGAGAAAUUCGCUAUGGUGCGUUAACACUUGCGAAAGAGGAGCAUGCUCAUCUGGGUGUGCAAACCUUUAGCGGUUGAGGCGUAUCCGCGGUGAAUCUGCAUCGCAAGGCAGCGCCCGUUAUGGUGCAGCUGCUGCUGCGGGUUUGCGUGACUGUUGGGCGGUCGCAUGCGACUUGCUUAUAGUUGGCGCUGAUCCGUGGGCGGUAAUGUUGCGCUGGCGCGGUAUCUCGGUGUAAAAGUUGACCACCUAUCCGACCCGUCUUGAAACACGGACCAAGGAGUUUAGCAUAUGCGCAAGUCAUUGGGUGGUAAACCUAAAGGCGUAAUGAAAGUAAAGAUGGCUUCUAGCCGUUGAUAUGGGAUCCGCAGAGUUUGACACGAUGCGGCGCACAUAGCCCCGUCCCCGUGCUGCAUAGGCGAGUAGAGCGCAUACGCUGAGACCCGAAGAUGUGACUAUGCUGACAGAUGAGUCAGAGAAACUCUGAUGAGUCGAGCGUCUGACUGCAAUCGAUCGUCUGACUGGUAUAGGGCGAGACUAUCGACUCGAGG
rnacentral:rRNA from 1 species